GGAGGCGGAGCUUGCAGUGAUGCACUCCAGCCUGGGUGACAGAACGAGACUCCGUCUCAAAAAAUAAUAAUAAUAAAAUAAAAUAAUAAUAAUAAUAAUUAGUGGGUGAGGCCGAUGAUUCUGUCCUUCAAAUAUGUGAAGAUUAAAUUAAGGUCAUCUGGGACACAGCAGCAGUGAUGGAGAAGAGAAUGGGGGCUGGACGAUAGAGGACCAGACCUGGAGGGUCUCGUGGAGAAGGGGUCCUCGAAGAGAUAAUGGAGCACCAUGGGUGGCCAGGAAGCUAUGCCAGUCUAUCCCACGUGGACACCCUUUGCCUUCACUUUUAUGUACUUUGAUAUAACAGCCGCAUUGGCCGGGGCGGGGCACUACCAAAAGGCAGGACUCAGCCUGGGGUCCUGCUUCCCAGCCCCCAGGUAGCUCUCUGUAGAGGGUCCUUCCCUGCAGGCAAUGAGCUCCCCGUUUGUAGCGGCUGUGCAUGGGUUAAUUGAUGUCUUCAUUGGAAUGGUGAGGCUGGGUCUGCAGAAGAGGAAAGAAAAGAGUAUGUUAAUUAAAACUGUCAACUAAAGAAAAACUCAGGCUUUUAAAGAAUUAGUUUUAUUCACAAAUCUUACCUAGAAUGGCAACCCGUGAGCGACUUUGAGAGAGUUUCUGUUAGACUGCUCCAGCCCGUAGUUUGCGUGCGGGUGCUGGUGGGUCUGCCCUGCAGAGAGUUGCGUUAGCAACCAUCCCUCCCUCCAGCGCUCGCCUCCGGGUCCCUAAGGAAAACGUUCCCCUGGUCAGGACGCUGGAGCGCGCAUGGGCCUCGCAGCCAUUGACGACUGGACGCGAGCUGCGGUACAAACCCCGACGCGGAGACGUUGGCGACAGUGGCCGCUGGGGGAGCUGCUGAGUGCCGCCCAGCACUGGGCUCCCUUUCCCUUCACUCUCGGCAGUUUCUUGCCUCCGUGGGUGGUUGGCGCGUCUGCGGAGCCAGAGUCGUUGUGUGGAUCGUGGGACUGCAGCCCCAGCCAAAGGGCUGUCACGUCUGGUCGGUUCCGUCACCCACGGUUCCGGUUUCCAGUCGUUAAGGGUCCAGCAGUCUGUUAAGUAGCUCCCUGUCCCUUCUGGAAGCUUGGCCAGGGAAGGUCAUUCCACCUUUGAGUUCCAGAUGAAAUCUCGCUCUGUCAUCCAGGCUGGAGUGCAGUCGCACUAUCUCAACUCAUUGUAACCUCUGCACUUGUUCCCUAAAAUCACUGUUAUUCUGUUCUUUUUUAAGGUGCACUGAUUUCAUAUUGUUCAAAUGCACAUUUACAAUCAGAUUUCAUAUUGUUCAAACACACAUGUUUUACAAUCAAUUUGUUAGUUAAUGCAAUCAUCACAGGGUCCUGAGGUGACGUACAUUCUCAGCUUAUGAAGAUAACAGGAUUGAGAUUAAAAUAAAGACAGGCAUAAGAAAUUAUAAGAGUAUUAUUUGGGAACUGAUAAAUGUUCA
rnacentral:lncRNA from 1 species